AAAGAAUGCUUCAUCAAGGGAUAAAAAGAAGGUUUAUAAAAAAGUAAUAGCAGCAGCUAUAGAGUCGCAAAUUAGCAUUAUAAAAAAGGCUCAAUCUCACGCCUAAAUCUUGGCAUAAUAAAUAAGGAUUAAGCGCUGUGCAGCCAGCGUUAAAUUCCGGGUGUUGAACAAGCCCGUAGCCACGUAUUCGUUGCAAGCCUUUAGAACAAUACAUGCUGCAAGAUGAACAGCAAGAGCUCAAGGGUGGGUAAAGUGCCAAUUCAUAAAGGCGAUGAUA
rnacentral:misc_RNA from 1 species